UACGUAGGGGGCUAGCGUUGUCCGGAAUCAUUGGGCGUAAAGAGCGUGUAGGCGGCCCGGUAAGUCCGCUGUGAAAGUCGGGGGCUCAACCUCGAGACGCCGAUGGAAACCAUUUGGCUAGAGUCCGGAAGAGGAGAGUGGAAUUCCUGGUGUAGCGGUGAAAUGCGCAGAUAUCAGGAAGAACACCCGUGGCUAAGGCGGCUCUCUAGUACGGUACUGACGCUGAGACGCGAAAGCGUGGGGAGCGAACAGG
rnacentral:rRNA from 1 species